AAGAAUUUUGAAUACUGGCUCAGGAUGAACGCUGGCGGCGUGCCUAACACAUGCAAGUCGAGCGAUCUCUUCGGAGAGAGCGGCGGACGGGUGAGUAACGCGUGGGUAACCUGCCCUGUACACACGGAUAACAUACCGAAAGGUAUACUAAUACGGGAUAACAUAUGAAAGUCGCAUGGCUUUUGUAUCAAAGCUCCGGCGGUACAGGAUGGACCCGCGUCUGAUUAGCUAGUUGGUAAGGUAAUGGCUUACCAAGGCAACGAUCAGUAGCCGACCUGAGAGGGUGAUCGGCCACACUGGAACUGAGACACGGUCCAGACUCCUACGGGAGGCAGCAGUGGGGAAUAUUGCACAAUGGGCGAAAGCCUGAUGCAGCAACGCCGCGUGAGCGAUGAAGGCCUUCGGGUCGUAAAGCUCUGUCCUCAAGGAAGAUAAUGACGGUACUUGAGGAGGAAGCCCCGGCUAACUACGUGCCAGCAGCCGCGGUAAUACGUAGGGGGCUAGCGUUAUCCGGAAUUACUGGGCGUAAAGGGUGCGUAGGUGGUUUUUUAAGUCAGAAGUGAAAGGCUACGGCUCAACCGUAGUAAGCUUUUGAAACUAGAGAACUUGAGUGCAGGAGAGGAGAGUAGAAUUCCUAGUGUAGCGGUGAAAUGCGUAGAUAUUAGGAGGAAUACCAGUAGCGAAGGCGGCUCUCUGGACUGUAACUGACACUGAGGCACGAAAGCGUGGGGAGCAAACAGGAUUAGAUACCCUGGUAGUCCACGCCGUAAACGAUGAGUACUAGGUGUCGGGGGUUACCCCCCUCGGUGCCGCAGCUAACGCAUUAAGACCCGCCGGAUUC
rnacentral:rRNA from 1 species